UCCCUAGUGGCUCAGAUGGUAAAGCAUCUGCCUACAAUGCAGGAGACCUGGGUUUAAUCCCUGGGUGGGGAA
rnacentral:tRNA from 1 species